rnacentral:rRNA from 1 species
GCAUAACGCGAAGAACCUUACCCACCUUUGACAUGUACGGAAUCCUGCAGAGAUGCGGGAGUGCUCGCAAGAGAGCCGUAACACAGGUGCUGCAUGGCUGUCGUCAGCUCGUGUCGUGAGAUGUUGGGUUAAGUCCCGCAACGAGCGCAACCCUUGCCAUCAGUUGCUACGAAAGGGCACUCUGAUGGGACUGCCGGUGACAAACCGGAGGAAGGUGGGGAUGACGUCAAGUCCUCAUGGCCCUUAUAGGUGGGGCUACACACGUCAUACAAUGGCCGGUACAAAGGGCAGCGAAGCCGCGAGGUGAAGCCAAUCCCAUAAAGCCGGUCGUAGUCCGGAUCGCAGUCUGCAACUCGACUGCGUGAAGUCGGAAUCGCUAGUAAUCGUGGAUCAGCAUGUCACGGUGAAUACGUUCCC